GACGGAAGGUGCAAGCGUUGCUCGGAAUCACUGGGCGUAAAGGGUGCGUAGGCGGCCGCGCAAGUCUGGCGUGAAAGCCCCGGGCUCAGCCCGGGAAGGGCGCUCGAAACGGCGCGGCUCGAGUGCCGGAGGGGAGAGUGGAAUUCCUGGUGUAGCGGUGAAAUGCGUAGAUAUCAGGAAGAACACCAAUGGCGAAAGCAGCUCUCUGGGACGGUACUGACGCUGAGACGCGAAAGCGUGGGGAGCGAACAGG
rnacentral:rRNA from 1 species